rnacentral:rRNA from 1 species
AGAGUUUGAUCAUGGCUCAGGACGAACGCUGGCGGCGUGCUUAACACAUGCAAGUCGAACGGAAAGGCCCUUCGGGGUGCUCGAGUGGCGAACGGGUGAGUAACACGUGGGUGAUCUGCCCUGCACUUUGGGAUGAGCCUGGGAAACUGGGUCUAAUACCGAAUAGGACUGCGCUCUUCAUGGGGUGUGGUGGAAAGCUUUUGCGGUGUGGGAUGGGCCCGCGGCCUAUCAGCUUGUUGGUGGGGUAAUGGCCUACCAAGGCGACGACGGGUAGCCGGCCUGAGAGGGUGACCGGCCACACUGGGACUGAGAUACGGCCCAGACUCCUACGGGAGGCAGCAGUGGGGAAUAUUGCACAAUGGGCGCAAGCCUGAUGCAGCGACGCCGCGUGAGGGAUGACGGCCUUCGGGUUGUAAACCUCUUUCAGCACAGACGAAGCGCGAGUGACGGUAUGUGCAGAAGAAGGACCGGCCAACUACGUACCAGCAGCCGCGGUAAUACGUAGGGUCCGAGCGUUGUCCGGAAUUACUGGGCGUAAAGAGCUCGUAGGUGGUUUGUCGCGUUGUUCGUGAAAACUCACAGCUUAACUGUGGGCGUGCGGGCGAUAGGGGCAGACUGGAGUACUGCAGGGGAGACUGGAAUUCCUGGUGUAGCGGUGGAAUGCGCAGAUAUCAGGAGGAACACCGGUGGCGAAGGCGGGUCUCUGGGCAGUAACUGACGCUGAGGAGCGAAAGCGUGGGGAGCGAACAGGAUUAGAUACCCCGGUAGUCC